rnacentral:rRNA from 1 species
GUAACGAAUAUUUCGCAAUGGGCGCAAGCCUGACGAAGCAAUGCCGCGUGCAGGACGAAGCCCCUCGGGGUGUAAACUGCUGUCAGGGGCUAGAAACUCAAUGAUCAGCCCCAAAGGAAGAGACGGCUAACUCUGUGCCAGCAGCCGCGGUAAUACAGAGGUCUCAAGCGUUAAUCGGUAUCACUGGGCUUAAAGGGUGCGUAGGCGGGUCCGCAAGUGCUUUGUGAAAUCCCACGGCUCAACCGUGGAACUGCUUGGCAGACUGCGGGUCUUGAGGUCGGUAGGGGCUGCCGGAACUCUAGGUGUAGCGGUGAAAUGCGUAGAUAUCUAGAGGAACGCCGAAGGUGAAGACAGGCAGCUGGGCCGAAUCUGACGCUGAGGCACGAAAGCGUGGGUAGCGAACGGGAUUAGAUACCCCGGUAGUCC